AUAAAGUAGGAAGCACUACUGGCGCAAUGAUGCGGUGUAGUGUUUCAUACUUUAUGG
rnacentral:pre_miRNA from 1 species